rnacentral:tRNA from 1 species
UAAUAUGAAGCAAUGUAUGCAUUCAGUUUCGACCUGACCUUUGAUGAAUAUUCAUCCUUAUUAA